rnacentral:rRNA from 1 species
UGUCAGCCGCCGCGGUAAUACGUAGGGUGCUAGCGUUGUUCGGAAUCAUUGGGCGUAAAGCGAGUGUAGGCUGUUUAUUAAGUCGGGUGUGAAAGCCCUGGGCUCAACCCAGGAAGUGCAUCCGAAACUAAUAAACUAGAAGACGGUAGAGGAAGGUGGAAUUCCAGGUGUAGAGGUGAAAUUCGUAGAUAUUUGGAGGAAUACCGGUGGCGAAGGCGGCCUUCUGGGCCGUUCUUGACGCUGAGACUCGAAAGCGUGGGUAGCAAACAGGAUUAGAUACCCUGGUAGUCCACGCCGUAAACGAUGGGUACUAGGUGUUGCGGGAAUUGACCCCUGCAGUGCCGAAGCUAACGCAUUAAGUACCCCGCCUGGGAAGUACGGCCGCAAGGUUAAAACUUAAAUAAAUUGACGG